rfam:Cricetulus griseus cell line CHO-K1, whole genome shotgun sequence.
GUGAUAUGGCUCAGUGGUUUAAGAGCACUGGAUGCUCUUCCAGAGGAUGAGGGUUCAAAUCCCAAUACCCACA